rnacentral:lncRNA from 1 species
CUUCUAUUCGCUCACGGUCCUUUUUAUAAGUGCAAAUUGGGUUGAAAUCAGAUUAAAAUUGGAUUCUUGUUCGCAUUCAAAGUCCUCAACCCACAUCCGUCGUCGGAUGAUGAUCCUGCCUCUAAAUAGCCCAUAACAGGUCGGAAUCAUUCCCCACCAUUGAAUCUAUCCCAAGAUCAAUUCUCGUCCAUCGGAUGGUGCAAAAACUCAGCCCAGACUCCUCUUAGCCAUCCACAAAUCCCGACCAUCCAAUCAAGCCCAGUA